rnacentral:lncRNA from 1 species
CUCAAUUCGUAAUCAGAGUUAUCAAACAUUAUCUAAAUAGUAUAAAAAAUUUUUCAUCAAAAAUUCAAGCAAUUUAGAUUGCUCUACACCGUUAAACAAGCAAACGGCUCAUAUAGGCCGUCAAAAAUUAUCGAUUUUACGACACUUUGAUCACCAUGUAAACCAUUAUCAAAAUUUAUGAAAUUUAGUUUCUAGAUAUUUCAAAUACUCUAUAUCAACUUCAACGGCUCCGAUCAUCGAUUCGGAAUCUCGAUCAUCAAGAACAACUUGAUAGGACAAGUGCUCCUAUCCUAUUAAUAGGAUAGUAGCAUUAGCCUAUAUAUAUAUAU